CAGGGAGACAAUAAGCUAUAGGAAUCCGUCUUUAAAAAUAGGACAGGUGAAAGUGGACCAAUCAAAGUGAAAUACUGCCCCCCAGUGGCUAAUUUGGAUCAAGCCAGAGAGCCGUAGCCUGUGGUGGCUGCUGGCAAAUCUGAGCACAUACAUAAAUAUGGCGGAGAGAACCUGUGUGUCCAGACCUUUUCUUGAACGGCUUGGGUCAUUCGGGUCAUUAAUACUCUCGUGUCUCUACUGAAAGGAAGAGGAAUAUGCCUCACGGCUACAGUAAAUUACCUACCAAAGCUCAGACCCAGAGGCAAGAAAGCUGAGUAAAACCAAAGACAUAACCAGGAGGAUGGAAACUUAGAGCGCCCCACACCAGGUGUACUCCUUCAGUCAAUAAACACAACUGACUUCAGCGUCGAGUUAGCAAGAAGAAUUAGCCGAAAUUAGAAACUACUGGAUGUCAUGCCCCCCUCCCCCACUCUUCCAAGCCCAGAUCCUAGAUGGACCAAGGAAAGCCAGAAAAAUCUCAUCUGUAAAAUGGAGGGGAUUGCCUUAGAGGACCCCUGGAAAUCCCUUCCAUCUCUAAAUACAUUUCUCCAGAAUACACUCAUCGGUUCAGAUGUGGAUCCAUGUGAAAGCAGAAGAAUAUUCAAGAGGCAAGUAAAAUUUAGAACUACAAUUUUAGAGGCUAUGUAGUCCAGUGUCUUUAUCUUGAAAGUAAGAAGGUUGAGUGAGACCCAGAGAGAAGUGCUGUUCCAAAGGCCACACAGUUACUUUUGUCAGUGUCUAAACAAGAACCUGGGUCUCCUGAUGUCCAAGUCAAUUUUCCCAGUUUGGGUGACAUAGCAUAGUAGAAAAAUUAACAGAUGAGAAGUCAUAUCUUUUUUUUUUUAAACUCUUACCUUCUUUCUUCUAAGGCAGAAGAUCAGUAAGGGUCUGGCAGUUGGGUAAAGUGACUUGCCCAGGGUCACACAGGUAGGAAGUAUCUGAGGCCAGAUGGCUCUCAAUCCACUGAGCCACUUAGCUGCCCCUAUAAUAUCUUACUUGUUUGUAUUCUGUACCUGACUGCUGUGGGUUUUAGUUUUCUUAUCUAUAUAAAUAAAGUUAGAUUGGAUUAUCUUUAUCCUUAAAUU
rnacentral:lncRNA from 1 species